rnacentral:rRNA from 1 species
CCGUGAAUCGAAUAAAGUUCGGGAUAAAAUUAUGAUGAUGACAUUAUUUAUCUUUGUGUCUUGACCAAAUUACGUGCCAGCAGUCGCGGUAAUACGUAGAAGACUAGUGUUAUUCAUCUUUAAUAGGUUUAAAGCGUACCUAGACGGUUGAUAUAACCUAAACAAGGUAUUAUAUCUGACUAGAGUUAUUUAUGUAAUGGCGCUAUAAGGUACUGUUGAGUGUAGAGAUGAAAUGCUAUUAUACCAGAUGAGUGGCACAGAUUGAGGCGAAAGCAUCGUUUUAUGUAAUAACUGACGUUGACGGACGAAGGCUAAAAUACCGAACAGGAUUAGGUACCCUAGUAGUUUAGCAGAAAAUUAUGAAUGUCAUAGGUUAGAUAACAUUUAGUCUAUAAAUGAAAGUGUAAGCAUUCCACCUCAAGAGUAAUAUGGCAACAUAGAAAUUGAAAUCAUUAGACCGUUUCUGAAACCAGUAG